CUCUGUGCUAAGCCUGGUGCACAGAUGCUCUUUAAAUCCUCACAGAACUUCUACAUCCCCUUGAUUCUCCCAUCCCCAUUUUUAUAGAGGAUGAAACGGAGGACCAGAGAUGUCAAGAGGCAGGCCCAAGAUUGCCCAGCAAAGAAAUGAUGGAAUAGGAUUUCAGAUCCUACGCAACUAAACUUCAAGGUCAUUCCUACUGAGGGCUGGUAGCUAGCUCCACAGAGUCAGCACUCAUGGACUAGACAGACCCUACCUCCUCCCUGCCUUCGAUCAUGCUCUAUUUCCAUCGUCGCGGUAAUGUUACAAACCAGACUUGCUGGCCCAAAUUGGAUCUAGCCACAGUUAGAGCAGCUCCAGGGAGAGCGAGCAGACAGUUCCCAACGUCGUGUCAGGUCCCGUAGGGCAGCCUGGUGGGCACAGCCUUAGCAGAUCACAUGCUGGUCAGCAGUGUACACACUGGCACAGGGCCAGUACCCAGCAGAUGUGUUUAUCGGGCACUGGGCUGAGAGAGCCCCACCCUACUCCAGAUUCGAGUCCCUCCUUUUUACCGUUCUAGCGGAAAGCAGGGGCUGAAGGAAAAGGAGGUCUGAGUGGGAGUACUGCGUCCUCACUUGCUUUCCAGCUGGGCCAAGUGGGCGUGGCUGCUUUCUUGCCAAGCCACCCUUCUGGGAAGCCUGGUCUGACCCUCAGGCUCCACCCCAGACACUCACUUCUGAGAGCUGAGUUCCUACCUCGACUACAACUAGGAAGGACGCUUUCAGCGACGUCCCCUUCUGGAUUCUAAGUGUACAAGCUCAGCUUCAUUCCAGAACACAGACACAAACUCCCAUCUUGGGUUGGUUUUAUAUUUUGGGUUUUUUUUUCUUUUUUUCUUUUUGCAGAUGGCAGGAAUCUAGCAGUGACUAAAACAAGCAAAAUCUCCUGCCCUCAGGGAGCAAGGAACCGAAGUGGAGUAAGACAGACAGUAAACAAAACACAUUUUUUAAAAAAAAAAAAUACUACGUCAGGAAGUGGAAACGCUGUUUAUGAAUGAACCAGCAGAAAAGAUCAAUGAACACAAUCGUUUAGAGGUCAGGAUUAGACCUGAGAAACAGUCUAGUCUGAACCCCUCGAUUUACAAAUGAAGGCAAGGAAGCUCAGAGAGGGAGCGUAAGGUCACGUGAUGAAUUAUUGGUAAAAAGCUGGGCUAGAUUCCAGCUCUCCUUGGCUCUGCCAGGGCCAAGGCCUGAGGGAGAAAACUCAGCCGAUGGAAGUCGGAGAGUGGGGGAGACAGAUGUCUGCUGACUCUCCCCCCUCCCUGCUUUGAAAAGGUUUUACUUAUUCUUUUUUUUUUUUUUGGACAGGGUUUCCUGUUUCCUUGGCCGGCCUCAAAUUUGGUGUGUAGCUUAGGAUAACCCUGAACUUCUAACCUCUCUGCUACUAGGUUCUGGGUGCUGGGGUUCUAGAAGAAUCCCCACACAUGCUGGGGACUGAACCCAAGGGCUUCUAGCAUGCUAGGGCAGUGCUGAAUUUACCAGGAAGAUAUCAGCAAGCAGGAAGUUUGAUGUCCUGAUGUCCUGGAGGCACCUGACAGCUCUCAUGAACACACACACAGCAGGAUGGAAGGCUUGGAGAAUCAGGACAUUUGGAUGUGCGAUGUUGGAAAACUGGAGAAGGGAGGGCUCAUACUUUCAUAGUGCCUAGCCCUUUGGGAAGGGUAUUGUUCUUUUGUUGCUGACAAAGCCCCAACCCACAAGCAGGGCUUGGCUGGGACCUGCAACUCCUCUGGGUGAGUGGGUCAUGUGUUUCCCAAGCCCUCUAAUUUUUCCCCCGUCCUGCCUAGCUUGCCACUCUGGCAUGCCCUUGGCCUCCUACUGGGUAGAGGGAAACAGCCAACAGCCUCACUCCUGUGGAGUUGACAUGCACAUGACAAGCAGUUUCUGCCCAAGCUCCAGGCAUCACCCAAGAGGAGAGUCACUAUCCCCACCCACGCAAAGAGAAACCAACCAUCAGUCAGGUGGUCUCUGCGUGACUCGGGAAGGCCGGGGAACAUAACGCUGCUACAGAGGGAAGACUCAAGUGCAUACUCAGAUUAUGACGUAGCCCGACUCUCUCCUCAUGCUGCCUGCAGACCUGUCCCGGAGCGCUUCCUGGAGUCUGCCUGGACACUGUCUUGAUUGGCCCAGAAUGUGGGCUGAUGUGAGCCACACCCAGCUUUCUCCCCUUCCGUGUCCCUCCAGUGUGGUUGCUCAGUGGAUCAGGCUUCUCUUUGUGACCCUUGAUGUCUUGGGUUCACAACCAAUGAAGUGUCCUGGCCAUGUGGCCCUGCACCAGGAUCCUGGCCUAGUGGCCAGGCCAUGGUUCCCAUGGCGAUGCCCUACCCUUGGACUGUCUCAUGGGCCCCCACAAGCCACUGGAAUGUCUCAAAAAUACCAUCCUUCAGGCAAACAUCCAAACCGCCUCUCCCAGACGGCAGUUCUCAAUUCUAGCAACAGGAAAAUCCUUUCAGAGCGUGUCCUGAUUUUCAGCUUGGAAAACAGAUGGCCACCAUCGCAAAGCUUGCCGUCCACCCUCUUAUAUCCUUUUUCCUCUCCCCCACCCCCCCCUCUCUCUCUCCAAUAGCAAUGCUGUGGUUACAAACCUCGGGCAGAGUCUGAGCUCAAAUUCCAGUGUCUCCAUGUCUUCCCACUCCGGCUAGCCCAUACAGCUCCUGUGGCCCUCGCCUCUUCAUCCUUCACAGAGAUGCCAGUCAGCCACCUGCAGCUCUUGGGGCGGACCAAUGACUCUUUAAAGAAAUGUAUUUAUCUAUUCAUUUGCAUGUGUAUACACCAAUGUCUAUGUAUGGUGGGGGUCGAAAGACAACAUAUGGGCCCCAGGGAUCCAAUUCAGGUUGGCAGAAAGUGUCUUGACUCGAUAAGCCAUCUGGUCAACCCUGAUCAAUGAUUCUGUGAGAAGCUCUCCCUGUCAGCCAUCCUUGCUCUAGGCUUCUUCCCUGGUUUAUCUUCUGCACUGGGCCUAUCACUGCCCGAUAAAGUAUCAUUUAUAUUUUG